GAUAGAGGAUGCAAGCGUUAUCCGGAAUGAUUGGGCGUAAAGCGUCUGUAGGUGGCUUUUCAAGUCCGCCGUCAAAUCCCAGGGCUCAACCCUGGACAGGCGGUGGAAACUACCAAGCUGGAGUACAGUAGGGGCAGGGGGAAUUUCCGGUGGAGCGGUGAAAUGCAUUGAGAUCGGAAAGAACACCAACGGCGAAAGCACUCUGCUGGGCCAACACUGACACUGAGAGACGAAAUCUAGGGGAGCAAAUGGG
rnacentral:rRNA from 1 species